AGCCAGACUCCUACGGGAGGCAGCAGUGAGGAAUAUUGGUCAAUGGGAGAGAUCCUGAACCAGCCAAGCCGCGUGAGGGAAGACUGCCCUAUGGGUUGUAAACCUCUUUUGUCAGGGAGCAAUUGGCGCUACGUGUAGCGUUAUCGAGAGUACCUGAAGAAAAAGCAUCGGCUAACUCCGUGCCAGCAGCCGCGGUAAUACGGAGGAUGCGAGCGUUAUCCGGAUUUAUUGGGUUUAAAGGGUGCGUAGGCGGAAUGCCAAGUCAGCGGUAAAAUCGCGGGGCUCAACCUCGCUCCGCCGUUGAAACUGGCGUUCUUGAGUGGGCGAGAAGUAUGCGGAAUGCGUGGUGUAGCGGUGAAAUGCAUAGAUAUCACGCAGAACUCCGAUUGCGAAGGCAGCAUACCGGCGCCCAACUGACGCUGAAGCACGAAAGCGUGGGUAUCGAACAGGAUUAGAUACCCGGGUA
rnacentral:rRNA from 1 species